rnacentral:snRNA from 1 species
UUCUCUUGGAGACAUCUGAUAAAAUUGGAAUGAUACAGAGAAGAUUAGCAUGGCCCCUGCGCAAGGAUGACACGCACGAAUCGAGAAAUGGUCCAAAUUUUU